ensembl:lncRNA MALAT1 metastasis associated lung adenocarcinoma transcript 1
CCAGCGCAGGGGCUUCUGCUGAGGGGGCAGGCGGAGCUUGAGGAAACCGCAGAUAAGUUUUUUUCUCUUUGAAAGAUAGAGAUUAAUACAACUACUUAAAAAAUAUAGUCAAUAGGUUACUAAGAUAUUGCUUAGCGUUAAGUUUUUAACGUAAUUUUAAUAGCUUAAGAUUUUAAGAGAAAAUAUGAAGACUUAGAAGAGUAGCAUGAGGAAGGAAAAGAUAAAAGGUUUCUAAAACAUGACGGAGGUUGAGAUGAAGCUUCUUCAUGGAGUAAAAAAUGUAUUUAAAAGAAAAUUGAGAGAAAGGACUACAGAGCCCCGAAUUAAUACCAAUAGAAGGGCAAUGCUUUUAGAUUAAAAUGAAGGUGACUUAAACAGCUUAAAGUUUAGUUUAAAAGUUGUAGGUGAUUAAAAUAAUUUGAAGGCGAUCUUUUAAAAAGAGAUUAAACCGAAGGUGAUUAAAAGACCUUGAAAUCCAUGACGCAGGGAGAAUUGCGUCAUUUAAAGCCUAGUUAACGCAUUUACUAAACGCAGACGAAAAUGGAAAGAUUAAUUGGGAGUGGUAGGAUGAAACAAUUUGGAGAAGAUAGAAGUUUGAAGUGGAAAACUGGAAGACAGAAGUACGGGAAGGCGAAGAAAAGAAUAGAGAAGAUAGGGAAAUUAGAAGAUAAAAACAUACUUUUAGAAGAAAAAAGAUAAAUUUAAACCUGAAAAGUAGGAAGCAGAAGAAAAAAGACAAGCUAGGAAACAAAAAGCUAAGGGCAAAAUGUACAAACUUAGAAGAAAAUUGGAAGAUAGAAACAAGAUAGAAAAUGAAAAUAUUGUCAAGAGUUUCAGAUAGAAAAUGAAAAACAAGCUAAGACAAGUAUUGGAGAAGUAUAGAAGAUAGAAAAAUAUAAAGCCAAAAAUUGGAUAAAAUAGCACUGAAAAAAUGAGGAAAUUAUUGGUAACCAAUUUAUUUUAAAAGCCCAUCAAUUUAAUUUCUGGUGGUGCAGAAGUUAGAAGGUAAAGCUUGAGAAGAUGAGGGUGUUUACGUAGACCAGAACCAAUUUAGAAGAAUACUUGAAGCUAGAAGGGGAAGUUGGUUAAAAAUCACAUCAAAAAGCUACUAAAAGGACUGGUGUAAUUUAAAAAAAACUAAGGCAGAAGGCUUUUGGAAGAGUUAGAAGAAUUUGGAAGGCCUUAAAUAUAGUAGCUUAGUUUGAAAAAUGUGAAGGACUUUCGUAACGGAAGUAAUUCAAGAUCAAGAGUAAUUACCAACUUAAUGUUUUUGCAUUGGACUUUGAGUUAAGAUUAUUUUUUAAAUCCUGAGGACUAGCAUUAAUUGACAGCUGACCCAGGUGCUACACAGAAGUGGAUUCAGUGAAUCUAGGAAGACAGCAGCAGACAGGAUUCCAGGAACCAGUGUUUGAUGAAGCUAGGACUGAGGAGCAAGCGAGCAAGCAGCAGUUCGUGGUGAAGAUAGGAAAAGAGUCCAGGAGCCAGUGCGAUUUGGUGAAGGAAGCUAGGAAGAAGGAAGGAGCGCUAACGAUUUGGUGGUGAAGCUAGGAAAAAGGAUUCCAGGAAGGAGCGAGUGCAAUUUGGUGAUGAAGGUAGCAGGCGGCUUGGCUUGGCAACCACACGGAGGAGGCGAGCAGGCGUUGUGCGUAGAGGAUCCUAGACCAGCAUGCCAGUGUGCCAAGGCCACAGGGAAAGCGAGUGGUUGGUAAAAAUCCGUGAGGUCGGCAAUAUGUUGUUUUUCUGGAACUUACUUAUGGUAACCUUUUAUUUAUUUUCUAAUAUAAUGGGGGAGUUUCGUACUGAGGUGUAAAGGGAUUUAUAUGGGGACGUAGGCCGAUUUCCGGGUGUUGUAGGUUUCUCUUUUUCAGGCUUAUACUCAUGAAUCUUGUCUGAAGCUUUUGAGGGCAGACUGCCAAGUCCUGGAGAAAUAGUAGAUGGCAAGUUUGUGGGUUUUUUUUUUUUACACGAAUUUGAGGAAAACCAAAUGAAUUUGAUAGCCAAAUUGAGACAAUUUCAGCAAAUCUGUAAGCAGUUUGUAUGUUUAGUUGGGGUAAUGAAGUAUUUCAGUUUUGUGAAUAGAUGACCUGUUUUUACUUCCUCACCCUGAAUUCGUUUUGUAAAUGUAGAGUUUGGAUGUGUAACUGAGGCGGGGGGGAGUUUUCAGUAUUUUUUUUUGUGGGGGUGGGGGCAAAAUAUGUUUUCAGUUCUUUUUCCCUUAGGUCUGUCUAGAAUCCUAAAGGCAAAUGACUCAAGGUGUAACAGAAAACAAGAAAAUCCAAUAUCAGGAUAAUCAGACCACCACAGGUUUACAGUUUAUAGAAACUAGAGCAGUUCUCACGUUGAGGUCUGUGGAAGAGAUGUCCAUUGGAGAAAUGGCUGGUAGUUACUCUUUUUUCCCCCCACCCCCUUAAUCAGACUUUAAAAGUGCUUAACCCCUUAAACUUGUUAUUUUUUACUUGAAGCAUUUUGGGAUGGUCUUAACAGGGAAGAGAGAGGGUGGGGGAGAAAAUGUUUUUUUCUAAGAUUUUCCACAGAUGCUAUAGUACUAUUGACAAACUGGGUUAGAGAAGGAGUGUACCGCUGUGCUGUUGGCACGAACACCUUCAGGGACUGGAGCUGCUUUUAUCCUUGGAAGAGUAUUCCCAGUUGAAGCUGAAAAGUACAGCACAGUGCAGCUUUGGUUCAUAUUCAGUCAUCUCAGGAGAACUUCAGAAGAGCUUGAGUAGGCCAAAUGUUGAAGUUAAGUUUUCCAAUAAUGUGACUUCUUAAAAGUUUUAUUAAAGGGGAGGGGCAAAUAUUGGCAAUUAGUUGGCAGUGGCCUGUUACGGUUGGGAUUGGUGGGGUGGGUUUAGGUAAUUGUUUAGUUUAUGAUUGCAGAUAAACUCAUGCCAGAGAACUUAAAGUCUUAGAAUGGAAAAAGUAAAGAAAUAUCAACUUCCAAGUUGGCAAGUAACUCCCAAUGAUUUAGUUUUUUUCCCCCCAGUUUGAAUUGGGAAGCUGGGGGAAGUUAAAUAUGAGCCACUGGGUGUACCAGUGCAUUAAUUUGGGCAAGGAAAGUGUCAUAAUUUGAUACUGUAUCUGUUUUCCUUCAAAGUAUAGAGCUUUUGGGGAAGGAAAGUAUUGAACUGGGGGUUGGUCUGGCCUACUGGGCUGACAUUAACUACAAUUAUGGGAAAUGCAAAAGUUGUUUGGAUAUGGUAGUGUGUGGUUCUCUUUUGGAAUUUUUUUCAGGUGAUUUAAUAAUAAUUUAAAACUACUAUAGAAACUGCAGAGCAAAGGAAGUGGCUUAAUGAUCCUGAAGGGAUUUCUUCUGAUGGUAGCUUUUGUAUUAUCAAGUAAGAUUCUAUUUUCAGUUGUGUGUAAGCAAGUUUUUUUUUAGUGUAGGAGAAAUACUUUUCCAUUGUUUAACUGCAAAACAAGAUGUUAAGGUAUGCUUCAAAAAUUUUGUAAAUUGUUUAUUUUAAACUUAUCUGUUUGUAAAUUGUAACUGAUUAAGAAUUGUGAUAGUUCAGCUUGAAUGUCUCUUAGAGGGUGGGCUUUUGUUGAUGAGGGAGGGGAAACUUUUUUUUUUUCUAUAGACUUUUUUCAGAUAACAUCUUCUGAGUCAUAACCAGCCUGGCAGUAUGAUGGCCUAGAUGCAGAGAAAACAGCUCCUUGGUGAAUUGAUAAGUAAAGGCAGAAAAGAUUAUAUGUCAUACCUCCAUUGGGGAAUAAGCAUAACCCUGAGAUUCUUACUACUGAUGAGAACAUUAUCUGCAUAUGCCAAAAAAUUUUAAGCAAAUGAAAGCUACCAAUUUAAAGUUACGGAAUCUACCAUUUUAAAGUUAAUUGCUUGUCAAGCUAUAACCACAAAAAUAAUGAAUUGAUGAGAAAUACAAUGAAGAGGCAAUGUCCAUCUCAAAAUACUGCUUUUACAAAAGCAGAAUAAAAGCGAAAAGAAAUGAAAAUGUUACACUACAUUAAUCCUGGAAUAAAAGAAGCCGAAAUAAAUGAGAGAUGAGUUGGGAUCAAGUGGAUUGAGGAGGCUGUGCUGUGUGCCAAUGUUUCGUUUGCCUCAGACAGGUAUCUCUUCGUUAUCAGAAGAGUUGCUUCAUUUCAUCUGGGAGCAGAAAACAGCAGGCAGCUGUUAACAGAUAAGUUUAACUUGCAUCUGCAGUAUUGCAUGUUAGGGAUAAGUGCUUAUUUUUAAGAGCUGUGGAGUUCUUAAAUAUCAACCAUGGCACUUUCUCCUGACCCCUUCCCUAGGGGAUUUCAGGAUUGAGAAAUUUUUCCAUCGAGCCUUUUUAAAAUUGUAGGACUUGUUCCUGUGGGCUUCAGUGAUGGGAUAGUACACUUCACUCAGAGGCAUUUGCAUCUUUAAAUAAUUUCUUAAAAGCCUCUAAAGUGAUCAGUGCCUUGAUGCCAACUAAGGAAAUUUGUUUAGCAUUGAAUCUCUGAAGGCUCUAUGAAAGGAAUAGCAUGAUGUGCUGUUAGAAUCAGAUGUUACUGCUAAAAUUUACAUGUUGUGAUGUAAAUUGUGUAGAAAACCAUUAAAUCAUUCAAAAUAAUAAACUAUUUUUAUUAGAGAAUGUAUACUUUUAGAAAGCUGUCUCCUUAUUUAAAUAAAAUAGUGUUUGUCUGUAGUUCAGUGUUGGGGCAAUCUUGGGGGGGAUUCUUCUCUAAUCUUUCAGAAACUUUGUCUGCGAACACUCUUUAAUGGACCAGAUCAGGAUUUGAGCGGAAGAACGAAUGUAACUUUAAGGCAGGAAAGACAAAUUUUAUUCUUCAUAAAGUGAUGAGCAUAUAAUAAUUCCAGGCACAUGGCAAUAGAGGCCCUCUAAAUAAGGAAUAAAUAACCUCUUAGACAGGUGGGAGAUUAUGAUCAGAGUAAAAGGUAAUUACACAUUUUAUUUCCAGAAAGUCAGGGGUCUAUAAAUUGACAGUGAUUAGAGUAAUACUUUUUCACAUUUCCAAAGUUUGCAUGUUAACUUUAAAUGCUUACAAUCUUAGAGUGGUAGGCAAUGUUUUACACUAUUGACCUUAUAUAGGGAAGGGAGGGGGUGCCUGUGGGGUUUUAAAGAAUUUUCCUUUGCAGAGGCAUUUCAUCCUUCAUGAAGCCAUUCAGGAUUUUGAAUUGCAUAUGAGUGCUUGGCUCUUCCUUCUGUUCUAGUGAGUGUAUGAGACCUUGCAGUGAGUUUAUCAGCAUACUCAAAAUUUUUUUCCUGGAAUUUGGAGGGAUGGGAGGAGGGGGUGGGGCUUACUUGUUGUAGCUUUUUUUUUUUUUACAGACUUCACAGAGAAUGCAGUUGUCUUGACUUCAGGUCUGUCUGUUCUGUUGGCAAGUAAAUGCAGUACUGUUCUGAUCCCGCUGCUAUUAGAAUGCAUUGUGAAACGACUGGAGUAUGAUUAAAAGUUGUGUUCCCCAAUGCUUGGAGUAGUGAUUGUUGAAGGAAAAAAUCCAGCUGAGUGAUAAAGGCUGAGUGUUGAGGAAAUUUCUGCAGUUUUAAGCAGUCGUAUUUGUGAUUGAAGCUGAGUACAUUUUGCUGGUGUAUUUUUAGGUAAAAUGCUUUUUGUUCAUUUCUGGUGGUGGGAGGGGACUGAAGCCUUUAGUCUUUUCCAGAUGCAACCUUAAAAUCAGUGACAAGAAACAUUCCAAACAAGCAACAGUCUUCAAGAAAUUAAACUGGCAAGUGGAAAUGUUUAAACAGUUCAGUGAUCUUUAGUGCAUUGUUUAUGUGUGGGUUUCUCUCUCCCCUCCCUUGGUCUUAAUUCUUACAUGCAGGAACACUCAGCAGACACACGUAUGCGAAGGGCCAGAGAAGCCAGACCCAGUAAGAAAAAAUAGCCUAUUUACUUUAAAUAAACCAAACAUUCCAUUUUAAAUGUGGGGAUUGGGAACCACUAGUUCUUUCAGAUGGUAUUCUUCAGACUAUAGAAGGAGCUUCCAGUUGAAUUCACCAGUGGACAAAAUGAGGAAAACAGGUAAUAGCCUGCAGCUGGUGUUUUGAGAAGCCCUACUGCUGAAAACUUAACAAUUUUGUGUAAUAAAAAUGGAGAAGCUCUAAAUUGUUGUGGUUCUUUUGUGAAUAAAAAAAUCUUGAUUGGGGAAAAAA